rnacentral:rRNA from 1 species
UACAGAGGUCUCAAGCGUUGUUCGGAUUCAUUGGGCGUAAAGGGUGCGUAGGCGGCGCGGUAAGUCGGGUGUGAAAUCUCGGAGCUUAACUCCGAAACUGCAUUCGAUACUGCCGUGCUUGAGGACUGGAGAGGAGACUGGAAUUUACGGUGUAGCAGUGAAAUGCGUAGAUAUCGUAAGGAAGACCAGUGGCGAAGGCGGGUCUCGUGGACAGUUCCUGACACUGAGGCACGAAGGCCAGGGGAGCAAACGGG